CCUACGGGGUGCAGCAGUGGGGAAUAUUGGACAAUGGGCGAAAGCCUGAUCCAGCCAUGCCGCGUGUGUGAAGAAGGCCUUCGGGUUGUAAAGCACUUUCAGUGGGGAAGAAAGCCUUGGGGCUAAUACCCUCGAGGAAGGACAUCACCCACAGAAGAAGCACCGGCUAACUCCGUGCCAGCAGCCGCGGUAAUACGGAGGGUGCGAGCGUUAAUCGGAAUUACUGGGCGUAAAGCGCGCGUAGGCGGUCUGAUAAGCCGGUUGUGAAAGCCCCGGGCUCAACCUGGGAACGGCAUCCGGAACUGUCAGGCUAGAGUGCAGGAGAGGAAGGUAGAAUUCCCGGUGUAGCAGUGAAAUGCGUAGAGAGCGGGAGGAAUACCAGUGGCGAAGGCGGCCUUCUGGACUGACACUGACGCUGAGGUGCGAAAGCGUGGGUAGCAAACAGGAUUAGAUACCCCUGUAGUC
rnacentral:rRNA from 1 species